CUCUCGUCGUUGUAACGCAAUAUCAGUCUGUACGGUGCUGGCUUCGAAGAUAAGAACACGGCCCUUUACCCUCUCUCGGCUCAGCAGAACACGACAUUCCCGCAUACACACCACAGAAGCAAAGCGAGCCUCAUUAGAUUUCUGAACUAGGAGAUCAAGAAGAAGAAAAAAACGAUGUCGUGGCAAACAUAUGUAGAUGAUCAUCUUAUGUGCGAAAUCGAGGGCAAUCAUCUCUCUGCUGCCGCCAUCAUCGGCCAAGACGGCAGCGUUUGGGCCCAGAGCGCCAACUUCCCUCAGUUCAAGUCUGAAGAAAUCACUGGCAUUAUGAGUGAUUUUCACGAACCUGGAACGCUUGCUCCAACUGGAUUGUACAUUGGUGGCACAAAAUACAUGGUGAUCCAAGGCGAGCCAGGAGCUGUCAUUCGGGGGAAGAAGGGCCCUGGUGGUGUUACUGUUAAGAAGACUAAUCAGGCCUUAAUAAUUGGUAUCUACGAUGAGCCAAUGACUCCAGGGCAGUGCAACAUGAUUGUUGAAAGGCUUGGCGAUUAUCUCAUUGAUCAGGGUCUUUAAUAUCUAUAUAUGUCCUUCUAUUUGUUGCAAUUUUCUUGGCUUCCAUACAAGCUUGCAUUUGCUUACCAGCUGUCAGAACGGCUAAAUGCAGAGAAAUAAUGUUAUGAAAUAUUAAAAGUCAAGGAAAACACUGUGUGGAAAGAAAAGGUUUGGUGCUUGUUAAAGUGAAUUGAUAUGCUGAUCAUUUUGUUGUUGUACUAGUUUGAUUAUGGUAUUGGAUGAUUGCCGAGUGAAAUACUGUCUAAACUACAGUGGAUUUCAUCUGAUGGAUGUGGUAAUUUGAUUGGUAUAAACUUUCAAGUAAUUCUGUCUAUGUGCUGUGCCUAAUUUUUGUCGGUCAUUUGGGUUUUUUUAAUUUUUCUUCCUCCUCCUCCCUCACUGUCUAUCCUUUCUUGCUCGACCUCUCAGUUUUUCUGGAUGGCUUUACGGUCUGUCCCUGUAGACUCAAAUUGCGGUAGAAAUUGAACUAGAUGUUAUAGGAUUAGGGGAGAUUGCAACUUACAAAUCUUGCCUUCGAAAUAGUGCUUUUCAAUAAGCUGGACUUCUCUUUCUAGCAUGGACAAUGGCGAGAUGGGGUUAUUGCUAGAGCAUAUCCUCUUGUUCCAGUUAACUUCCCUUGUAUUGUUUGGUGGAGAAAUGAUAAGGUCGUGGUAGGUAUGAAAAAGCUGAAAAACUCUGAGCAAUAACCUUGGUGCUCAUAUGGACUAGUCCUUAAUGCCAUUUAGGGGUACUUGAAUGGUUUGUAAGGGGGGAAAAUUUUCGAGUUCAAAUUCGAGUCCAAUGAUAAUAAAAACAAUAAUU
rnacentral:misc_RNA from 1 species